UGUAGCUCAGUGGCAAAGCAUUUGCCUAACAUGCACAAGGCCCUGGGUUUAAUUCCCAGUA
rnacentral:tRNA from 1 species